rnacentral:lncRNA from 1 species
CUGCAGUUGGCAGGCUGCUGCGGGAGGCGGUGGCGGUGAGAAGCCGGAGGCAGCGGGGUGACAGCGCUGGAAAAUAUUUAAGUCUCAACAAAUGAAUUCCACACUUGAAUUCUGCCGCAUUCCUGUGCCACCUCCUCCUUUAGAAAACUGAUCUUAGAACAGAGGUAAAAUUAUGGAAUUUAACUUU